rnacentral:rRNA from 1 species
UACGUAGGCAGCGAGCGUUGUUCGGAGUUACUGGGCGUAAAGGGUGUGUAGGCGGUUUUCUAAGUUUGGUGUGAAAUCUCCCGGCUCAACCGGGAGGGUGCGCCGAAAACUGGGAGACUAGAGUGCGGGAUGGGAGAGUAGAAUUCCUGGUGUAGCGGUGAAAUGCGUAGAUAUCAGGAGGAAUACCGGUGGUGAAGACGGCUCUCUGGACCGCCACUGACGCUGAGACGCGAAAGCGCGGGGAGCGAACAGG